rnacentral:rRNA from 1 species
AUUCCAGCUCCAAUAGCGUAUACUAAAGUUGUUGCAGUUAAAAAGCUCGUAGUUGAAUUUCUGGAUGCGAAAGAUGGUCGGCACCUCACGGUGUCUGUACUUUUCAUUCGCGUCCAUCCCCGGGAGGAACGUGUGGGGCUUUAAGUAGUUCUGCUCGGGAAUCUCGUCAUUUACUGUGAGCAAAAUAGAGUGUUCAAAGCAGGCUUAUGCCGUUGGAUAUAUAGCAUGGAAUAGUAAGAUACGACUUUGGUCUAUUUUGUUGGUUUGCAUUCCAAAGUAAUGAUUAAUAGGGAUAGUUGGGGGUAUUCGUAUUCAAUUGUCAGAGGUGAAAUUCUUGGAUUUAUGGAAGACGAACUACUACGAAAGCAUUUACCAAGGAUGUUUUCAUUG